rnacentral:rRNA from 1 species
UAAGACGAACUGUGCGAACGUUAUUCGGAAUCACUGGGCUUACAGGGUGCGUAGGCGGCCUGUUAAGUAGGGUGUGAAAUCCCCCGGCCCAACCGGGGAAUUGCGCUCUAAACUAGCAGGCUUGAGUGAGCUAGGGGUACACGGAACUUCCAGUGGAGCGGUGAAAUGUGUUGAUAUUGGAAGGAACACCGGAGGCGAAAGCGGUGUACUGGGGCUUAACUGACGCUGAGGCACGAAAGCCAGGGGAGCGAACGGG